rnacentral:rRNA from 1 species
AGUGAACGCUGGCGGUAGGCCUAACACAUGCAAGUCGAACGGCAGCACAGUAAGAGCUUGCUCUUACGGGUGGCGAGUGGCGGACGGGUGAGGAAUACAUCGGAAUCUACUUUUUCGUGGGGGAUAACGUAGGGAAACUUACGCUAAUACCGCAUACGACCUACGGGUGAAAGCAGGGGAUCUUCGGACCUUGCGCGAUUGAAUGAGCCGAUGUCGGAUUAGCUAGUUGGCGGGGUAAAGGCCCACCAAGGCGACGAUCCGUAGCUGGUCUGAGAGGAUGAUCAGCCAACAUGGAAAUGGGACACGGUCCAGACUACUACGGGAGGGCGCAGUGGGGAAUAUUGGACAAUGGGGGCAAGCCUGAUCCAGCCCUAACGAGUGGGUGAAGAAGGCCCUCGGGUUGUAAAGGCCUUUUGUUGGGAAAGAAAAGCAGCAGGUUAAUACCCCGCUGUUCUGACGGUACCCAAAGAAUAAGCACCGGCUAACUUCGUG